CAAGCUGCCCGCUCCUCCGCGCAACCCCAUUGGCCUGCGCCGGCGGCUCAGACAAAGGGAGCGGCAGCGGCGGGCGGCGAUUGGGCUGGGUUGAUGGCGGGGCGGUCGGGAGCCGAGCGCUGGGGAGGCGGGGAGCGCGGCGCGGGGGAGGGGCGCGGCGUUUCGCGCCCGGGACCGCCAGACUCGGGUGUGCGGCGGGGCGCGGGCGCCUUCCCUCGCGGGGGCGGGGCGGCUCCACGUGGGUGGGGCUGGGCGCCCCGGAGGGCGGCGGGCGCGGGGAGCGGGGAGGCCGCCCGCCCCUCCGCCCGCCUUCUCUGCCCUGUGCCCCUCCCGCCCCGGGGCUCCUGCCGGGACGGCGGCCGCCUCCGCCUCGUCUUCCCCGAGGGCUCCGCGUCCGUCUCCGCAGCUCAGCCGGGAACCUGGGGACGCGGGAGCCCAGACGUGCCGCGGGACCCUCCAGAGGGCCGGGCCGGGGAGGGGACGCGGGCUCUGGCGGUCGAAGACGGACGCAGCGCCCGGAAAGGCGAGCCGGGCCUCCAGCUCCCUGCGCUUCCUGGAGCGCUGGCUCGGCAUGGUGCGUCGCCGGGGAGGGAGGGACUGGCCCCGGGGCGAGCAGCCGGGCGGGGAGUGGCUUCUGGGGGCCUUCGCCAGCGGAGGGCCCGCGAGGCCGCCCUCGGAGCGCCGCCAGGAAAAAUACAAGCUUUGCCUCUCUCUUACCCGCUUGGAUGGAUCUUUUCCGUGCAGGAAGAGAAGAAAUCCCGUUUCCCUCGGCCUUACCGGCCCAGGGCUGAACUGCUGGCUCCGGUGGAGUGAACGGGGCCCGGCGAACCACCCCCUUCUCCUCCUCCCCGACCUGUACACCCUGAAUUGCAAUUUAAAGGAGAAUAUUUUUUUCGUACAAGGGCGUUUGCAGGGACCCGUCCCUAGAAGUCUGCCGCGGGCCUAGUGUCUGGAAGAUCCACCCCGCAGACCCGCAGAGCAGAUCCCCGACCGCACCAGCCCGGUCACCCUUCCAAGUACACCCUCCUGGGCCCUGCACUGGGCGGAAGCAGGGGCACCCAGGGGCCCCCACUGAGGUGGAAGGUCGCUGGACCGACCCCUCACCACUGCUUGGCGCCCCCAUCCCCCACCCUCCUCCCUUUGUUCGCCUGACUUGGAGAUGGCAGGAAAAAAAAUAAUUAGAUGGAAAUCAAAGAUUAGACGAGGUGCGCGGGCGGCCUCCGCCUGGCCGGGCCAUGCUGGGCCCGUGCCUCAUAAAUCUUCCUCGAGACCUAACAAAAGCCGCGGCCUCUCUUCCUUGGGAACUCUUCGGGAGCCAGGGCAGAGAGUCUCCGGUGUCCCCCAACUUCUGGCCAGUGCCGGACGCGCCCGGCCCCAGCCAGGGUAUCAUGCCCAGGAGUAGACGAAGGUGGAGGGGAAGGGGCCCUGCCCCCACCCAGGAAAGGGCUGCAGAUACCCGCACCCCGCGGGUGAAACCAAACGUAUUAUUAGGGACCGGAUCUUCCCUCCUCCGCGCCGCGUGAGAAGGGUGAGGAGCGGAUUAACCCCUCUCCCUGGCGACUCCUUUGUCUGGCCCGGCCUUUGCUGAGCGGAGCGGGGUGCCCAGGAGCCAGCGAGGGGCUCCCGAGGCGGUCCCGGCUUGGCCCAGGUGUGCGGGCCACGGUGGAGCCGUGGGUUCGCAGCGGAGCCACUGACGUCCGGGCGCCCCCACCUCCGGGGUCUCCGGGCCCACGUGCGAUCCACCCCGGAGCUGCGCCCAGACGCCUCGUGGAGCAGGGUAGAACCCGAAGGAAGUCGUGGCGCGUUUAGCUAUUUUAAAAACUCGAAUUAAUUGAGAAAGCAUGGAGAAGACGUCCGGGGAUGGGGGAGGAUGUCUUUUAAAAAUUAUAUCCCGUUGUUGUGGAGGUUGUUUUUGACCUUUCCUACUAUUAAAUGUUGCCACUUUUAAUUUUUGUUACCAUGAGAUAUGGAGGGGGAGCCCAGCAUUUUGAAAUAAUUUGAUAAGUCUUCAAGUAGUAAAUCCGAAAGGGAGGCGGGCGGCCCAGGUAUAGUUUCUUUAUAACAUGAAUUUACAAUGAAAGCAUUCUUCUUUAUGGAUAUAAUAGAUUAGAUUUCACAACUUAAUUCACCGGAAUGGCUGGGUUUAAGGGAGCGCCGGCUGAUUUUAUUACACCAAGCCAAAUUGGAUGUUUGUGGUCUUAAGGAAAAGCGAUCGUGACAUAAAAUAUGUAAUUUUUAAAGUAAAAAAACCAGCGGGUUGGACCCUGUCCCCUCCCCUAUCCUCGCUCCUUACUCCCAAUCCCCCAGUUUGGGGAAUAUGGAGCAUUAUUUGUGCGUGGUGUCUGCCGGGGAGACUGGCGUUCACGCGGGGCGGGGCUGGGCUCUCCGGCCAGAGGCCUCGCUGGCCCUGCGCACGCGGCGCUGCUUCCCGGUCCAGGCUCGGCCCGCUUCCGUGGCUCGUUUGAAACGUCGACAUUCUGAACACAGGAUCCGGGGUCACCGGGCAUCCACGGGGCUCGAAGCCUCUGCCUGCCAGCGACGACUGCACGGCUCCCCAGGGCGCGCAGCGCGGAGGAAGCGCCCUCUAAAGACCCGCGUGCGUCCUCGGGCGGAGCGGCAGCCUCGGCGGGACACCCGGCAGGGUCUUCGUUGUGCAAAACAACUGCGCUGCCGGAGAUCCAGCAGCGGGAGCGGGACCCUGAGCCCCCCCCCUCCAACCCCUUUCGGCCCGACGGUGAGUGCGGCCGUGGGGAGGGGGUGUCGGCGCGAGGAGGUUCCCCGGCCUAGGCUACCCCCGCCUCUGAGUGACCUCCCAGCUUCGCGGCACGCCAGGCCAACGGAGGACUGGGAUGGGGGUCUCAACGGCCCACUCUGCUGUCGCUUCUGACCUAUUCUCCUGGCCACGGCGGCCUCAGCCCCCCGCCUUUUUUGCGUGGUUUGCUGAAGACGGAUGUAGCUCCCCCCGGAGUUGGGGACAGACAGACAGCUCGGCCCUUCCCCUGUUCAUCUCUGUCUCCAGGCGGGAGCUGCAGCGACAGCUUGGGAAAGCGGGGGGUGGGGGGAGACGACGACGGACGCCAACCCCGGCCGCGAUCUCGCUGGGCUCCUGCGCCUAGGUCCUCUGUGGCCGGAGGGACAGAGGCUGCUCCACGUGGCUUCCGCGGCCGCCACCCCGCGCGAGGAGGACGCGUGCGUGUGGUACGUGGCCGGCGGGCUGCAGGGACGCGCCUGAAAUUAAAUCUGCGCAGCGCCUGACCUUGUUUUUUGCUCGGCCCCGAUAACGGCAGCAGCUGUUUUUUCCAGAAUCCCUGCUGCUGGGGGAGGGGCGUUAUUAUUAUUUUCAGUUGUCACAACCUCCUGGAAAAAUUCCCUGGCCUCAGAACGUGUAACAAUAGCCUGGUGGAUUUCUGGAGGAAGCGCCCCCUCCCCUGCUUUCUCCAGGGACACUUUUCCCCGGGAGCUGCGAUGGGGACCUCCUCCCUUGUUCUGGCCCUAGCCCCCUCCUCGGCCUUCAGAGCCUUACAUCAGGCUCCUCGGUCUGUGGCCUUGGGUCUCUGGGCCCCUCUGCCUGCUUUCCCUGCCUCUGGCCCCUGGUCACCCCUGGGAAAGGCUGCAGCUCUGAAAUGGAAGAAACAGCUUCUUCUCCACCAUGAACGAGGCAGAGGCCCGGGCACCCCACCCACCCAACGCCCUCCCUAGUGACCCUCACCCAGUGCCUCCUUUGGUGGCUCACGCCUAUAAUCCUAGCACUUUGGGAGGCCAAGGCGGGUGGAUCACAGGUCAGGAGUUUGAGAACAGCCUGGCCAACAUGGUGAAACCCUGUCUCUACUAAACAUGCAAAAAUUAGCCAGGCAUGGUGGCCAGUGCCUGUAUUCCCAGCUACUCAGGAGGUGAGGCAGGAGAAUCUCUUGAACCCGAGAGGUGGGGGUUGCAGUGAGCCAAGAUUGCACCACUGCACUCCAGCCUGGGCGACAUAGCAAGACUCCGUCUCAAAAAAAAAAAAAAAAAAGACGCUAUUGCCCAGCCCUACUUGGAAGACAUGUCUCCUCCCCAGGAAUCCUGCUGUGUUUGCUUUUAGGGUCAGCGCUAGCCCAGAAGCAGUUAAAGAUUAACCAGCCUGGGCCCUGGGGUAGAAGAGGGGACAGAGGAAGGGGAGGGGAAGGGGUUCCAGCACAAGUGGUGCCUGAUUCCUAGUGGGUUCCGCACACAGCCCACCCACCAGCGCUGCUGCCGCUACCUGGCAGGCUGUGCAGUGGUUCAGGUGGCAAGCAUUGCUGGGCCCACCUGUCUGGCAAGGGCAGUUGGGGACCCCUGGCUGUUGAGCACAGGCGUGACCCCAGCUUUGGGCUCACACGUCCCUGCAGACUGUGGCUGCCUAGCCCUCUGCUAGGACCUCUGGCUUCCUGGCCCUUCCUCCAGUGGGACCAGAAGCCCAGGAAAGAGGCUGAACCCAGGAAGAGCUCUGGGCAGCCAGGCCAGCUGGUCCCGGCCUCCUGUUCAGCUUCCCUGUCACAAGGGUCCAGGGUGUGUGUGGGAGGGGCCUCACAGCCAAUCCUGUGCCUGCAUCUCCCUGUCCUCCUGUGUGGGAAGCGGAGGCAGGAGGGUCUCAGCCCCCUCAUUCCACCCCAGUGGGAGUCCCAGGAUCCCCCAACCCAUCAUCAUUGUCACCAAGAGGCAGCAGCUCCUUUGGUGGAGGGCGCAGGACCCACCCUGCACUGUGGCGGCAGGGCCCUCUCCCAGGCCCCUCAUCCUGCCCAUAAAUGUAUUUACACUUGUGUUACCCCAGGUACUAGGCUGUGGCAAUGGCGUCCCCAGCCUGCAUGGACGGCAGGAAUUGAACUUUAGUCUCUGGGCAAUUAAGGUGCAGGGACUAUACUUUAUUAAUGAUUGUUUUGCAAUAAAAAAUGAUAAAAUGGCCCCUAUUUGUAAUUU
rnacentral:lncRNA from 13 species